CGUUUUAACUGGGAUUCGAACUCGGAUCUCGUGCUUGUCGUCAAGCCUGCUAACCGCUACACCAUCGAUAC